UAGGGAAUCUUCCGCAAUGGGCGAAAGCCUGACGGAGCAACGCCGCGUGAGUGAUGAAGGUCUUCGGAUCGUAAAACUCUGUUAUUAGGGAAGAACAAAUGUGUAAGUAACUAUGCACGUCUUGACGGUACCUAAUCAGAAAGCCACGGCUAACUACGUGCCAGCAGCCGCGGUAAUACGUAGGUGGCAAGCGUUAUCCGGAAUUAUUGGGCGUAAAGCGCGCGUAGGCGGUUUUUUAAGUCUGAUGUGAAAGCCCACGGCUCAACCGUGGAGGGUCAUUGGAAACUGGAAAACUUGAGUGCAGAAGAGGAAAGUGGAAUUCCAUGUGUGGCGGUGAGAUGCGCGGAGAUAUGGAGGAACACCAGUGGCGAAGGCGACUUUCUGGUCUGUAACUGACGCUGAUGUGCGAAAGCGUGGGGAUCAAACAGG
rnacentral:rRNA from 1 species